GACAGAGGGUGCAAACGUUGUUCGGAAUUACUGGGCGUAAAGCGCGUGUAGGCGGCCCUGCAAGUCGGAUGUGAAAUCCCACGGCUCAACCGUGGAAGUGCAUUCGAAACUGCAGGGCUAGAGUCCUGGAGAGGAAGGUGGAAUGCUUGGUGUAGAGGUGAAAUUCGUAGAUAUCAAGCGGAACACCGGUGGCGAAGGCGGCCUCUGGACAGUGACUGACGCUGAGACGCGAAAGCGUGGGGAGCAACAGGGAUUAAGAU
rnacentral:rRNA from 1 species